rnacentral:rRNA from 1 species
AGUGAAUGCUAUUGAUAUACAUAAGACAUGCAAGUCGAACGAGAUUCGAAAGAAUUUAGUGGCGUACGGGUGAGUAAAGCAAAGGAAUCUGCCUUUAAGAAGAGGAAAGAAAAAUAACUCUAUAAAAGAAAGAACUUGAAAAGAAUCGCUUAGAGAGGAGCCUUUGUAGGAUUAGGUAGUUGGUAAGGUAAAGGCUUACCAAGCCGAAGAUCCUUAGCUGGUCUGAGAGGAUGGACAGCCACACUGGGACUGAAACAAGGCCCAGACUUCCAUGGAAGGCUGCAGUCGGGAAUUUUGGACAAUGGGCGAAAGCUUGAUCCAGUGAUAUCAAAGGAGUGAAGAAGGUGAAAACUGUAAAGCUUGAUUACUAAGGAAGAUAAUGACGUUACUUAGUAGGGAAGCCCCGGCUAAUCCUGUG